rnacentral:rRNA from 1 species
UACGUAGGGUGCGAGCGUUGCCCGGAUUUAUUGGGCGUAAAGGGCGCGUAGGCGGUCACGCACGUCCGUUGUGAAAUCGCUCGGCUCAACUGGGCGGGGUCAGCGGAUACGGCGUGGCUGGAGCAAGCUAGGGGGCAAUGGAAUUCCCGGUGUAGUGGUGGAAUGCGUAGAUAUCGGGAGGAACACCAGUGGCGAAGGCGGUUGCCUGGAGCUUUGCUGACGCUGAUGCGCGAAAGUCAGGGGAGCAAACGGG